rnacentral:rRNA from 1 species
UACGUAGGGCGCAAGCGUUGUCCGGAAUUAUUGGGCGUAAAGAGCUCGUAGGCGGUCUGUCGCGUCUGCUGUGAAAACUCAGGGCUUAACCCUGAGCUUGCAGUGGGUACGGGCAGACUAGAGUGCGGUAGGGGAGACUGGAAUUCCUGGUGUAGCGGUGAAAUGCGCAGAUAUCAGGAGGAACACCGGUGGCGAAGGCGGGUCUCUGGGCCGUAACUGACGCUGGAGGAAGCGAAAGCAUGGGGAGCGAACAGGA